UUGAACGCUGGCGGCAUGCCUUACACAUGCAAGUCGAACGGCAGCGCGGGCUUCGGCCUGGCGGCGAGUGGCGAACGGGUGAGUAACAUAUCGGAACGUGCCUUAGAGUGGGGGAUAACUAGUCGAAAGACUAGCUAAUACCGCAUACGAUCUACGGAUGAAAGUGGGGGAUCGCAAGACCUCAUGCUCUUAGAGCGGCCGAUAUCUGAUUAGCUAGUUGGUGGGGUAAAGGCCUACCAAGGCGACGAUCAGUAGCUGGUCUGAGAGGACGACCAGCCACACUGGGACUGAGACACGGCCCAGACUCCUACGGGAGGCAGCAGUGGGGAAUUUUGGACAAUGGGGGCAACCCUGAUCCAGCAAUGCCGCGUGUGUGAAGAAGGCCUUCGGGUUGUAAAGCACUUUUGUUCGGAAAGAAAUCGCCUGGGUUAAUACCCUGGGUGGAUGACGGUACCGGAAGAAUAAGCACCGGCUAACUACGU
rnacentral:rRNA from 1 species